rnacentral:lncRNA from 1 species
UGGGGACCCUGGGAGGGCGAGGAUGGCGGGCACAGCAGGGAAGGGCGAGGAGAAACCAGCCUUGGGGCCUGGAGGAGGAAGCCCAGGGGGCGUUGGGAAGUGACAGGCCCCCGGAGUUCCCGGGAGGAGGGCCAAGAAUGUGGGAGGGAGGUACUAGGGCUUCACCAAGGGCAAAUGUCGGCCCUCCUGGUCUCGACACCUCCAGCAGGGAGCGACUUCUCCCCUGUAACCAGCCCACAGCCCCCUGUUUCCUAGGCCCCAGGGCACUGGAGGACAGAUGGGCAACCCCUAAAGCUGCUUCAGGCCUUGAGACGCAGACAGGAGAGGCCUGUUGGGUGGGCUCACGGAAGGAUGCCUGUGCGGGGCGGGGGGAUUGGGAGGGCUGUUGCCUGAGAAGACAUCCGAGUAUCCUGUCAAGGGUAAAAGCUGACUUUGAAGGCUUUCAGCCUAGGGUGUGUGCUCAGGAGCUGUGUGACCUCGGACAGUUUACUUAACCUCUCUGAGGACUGGGACAAUGGUGGUGGUGGCACCUUCCUGGAGAGGCCCCUGUAUUCAGGCCCUGCCCAGCCGGCCCCCUCCCUCUGUGUCCAGGCUCCUUGUAGGUCAGGAUCCUGGAGGGAGAACUGCUCUGUCUGUACAUCUUUAAACUGGGAGCUGAGAAUGAGCUUUGCUGCCCGAGGUUGCUUUUUCGGAAGCCACAGUGAGGGAGGCAGGAUCAGAGAAUGAGUUCUCAGUGGGAUUCAGAUGGCCCUGCUGGGCCCUGUGGCCACCCACUGGGACCAGGCUCAGAUACCGCCCAGGGGUCAGAUCACUCGCAGGGGGUUGGGGGAGAGACCAGGACACCCCUCCAGACUUCCAAGUGGCAGCCUGACCGAAUAGCCUUGGGGAGCAGGAGCACACCCAAAACCCACUCCGGGAGGAGGCGUACCUGUGGGCCUGCGCCCCCGGGAGAGGUGGAGGGAGACUCAGGACGGCUAACCUCUCAGGAGGGUUCGAGGGGGAAGGAGAGCCAUCUGCAGUUCCU